GUAGGUGGCAAGCGUUGUCCGGAAUUAUUGGGCGUAAAGCGCGCGCAGGUGGUUCUUUAAGUCUGAUGUGAAAGCCCCCGGCUCAACCGGGGAGGGUCAUUGGAAACUGGGGAACUUGAGUGCAGGAGAGGAAAGUGGAAUUCCACGUGUAGCGGUGAAAUGCGUAGAUAUGUGGAGGAACACCAGUGGCGAAGGCGACUUUCUGGCCUGUAACUGACACUGAGGCGCGAAAGCGUGGGGAGCAAACAGGGAUUAGAUACCCUGGUAGUCCACGCCGUAAACGAUGAGUGCUAAGUGUUGGGGGGGUUUCCCGCCCCUCAGUGCUGCAGCUAACGCAUUAAGCAUCCGCCUGGGGAUACGGUCGCAAGACUG
rnacentral:rRNA from 1 species